rnacentral:RNase_P_RNA from 1 species
AGAGUUGGUCUAGAGGUUGCGGGAUCAUUUUAUCAAUGAUUCCGAGGAAAGUCCGAACUCCCGAAAGACCACACUUGCUGGAUAACGUCCAGUGCGCGCGAGCGUGAGGAUAGUGCCACAGAAAAAUACCGCCCCUUUUUUCAGUAAUCAGUAAACAGUAACGAAAGUAAAUUCACUGAUAACUGAUCACUGAUUGGGGGUAAGGGUGCAAAGGUGCGGUAAGAGCGCACCAGCAGUAUCGAGAGGUACUGGCUCGGUAAACCCCGGUGGGGAGCAAGGUGGAGGGACAAAGGUUGGUCUUUUUCCU